UACGGAGGGGGCUAGCGUUGUUCGGAAUUACUGGGCGUAAAGCGUACGUAGGCGGCUUUGUAAGUUAGAGGUGAAAGCCCGGGGCUCAACUCCGGAAUUGCCUUUAAGACUGCAUCGCUUGAAUCAUGGAGAGGUGAGUGGAAUUCCGAGUGUAGAGGUGAAAUUCGUAGAUAUUCGGAAGAACACCAGUGGCGAAGGCGACUCACUGGACACAUAUUGACGCUGAGGUGCGAAAGCGUGGGGAGCAAACAGG
rnacentral:rRNA from 1 species